rnacentral:rRNA from 1 species
ACCGCUGGUGUACCAGUUGUUCCGCCAGGAGCAUCGCUGGGUAGCUAUGUAUGGAUGAGAUAAACGCUGAAAGCAUCUAAGCGUGAAACUCGCCUCAAGAUGAGAUUUCCCAUUCCUUAUGGAAGUAAGACCCCUCAGAGAUGAUGAGGUAGAUAGGAUGGAAGUGGAAGUGCCGCGAGGCAUGGAGCGGACCAUUACUAAUCGGUCGAGGACUUAACCAAGUU